GAGUUUGAUCCUGGCUCAGAAUGAACGCUGGCGGCAGGCCUAACACAUGCAAGUCGAACGGAGUUAUAUUGUAGCUUGCUAUGGUAUAACUUAGUGGCAGACGGGUGAGUAAUGUAUAGGAAUCUACCUAGUAGUACGGAAUAAUUGUUGGAAACGGCAACUAAUACCGUAUACGCCCUACGGGGGAAAAAUUUAUUGCUAUUAGAUGAGCCUAUAUUAGAUUAGUUAGUUGGUGAGGUAAAGGCUUACCAAGACAAUGAUCUAUAGCUGAUCUGAGAGGAUGAUCAGCCACACUGGAACUGAGAUACGGUCCAGACUCCUACGGGAGGCAGCAGUGGGGAAUAUUGGACAAUGGGCGAAAGCCUGAUCCAGCCAUGCCGCAUGAGUGAAGAAGGCCUUCGGGUUGUAAAGCUCUUUUAGUGAGGAAGAUAAUGACGGUACUCACAGAAGAAGUCCUGGCUAACUCCGUGCCAGCAGCCGCGGUAAUACGGAGAGGGCUAGCGUUAUUCGGAAUCAUUGGGCGUAAAGGGCGCGUAGGCGGGUUAGUAAGUUAAAAGUGAAAUCCCAAGGCUCAACCUUGGAACUGCUUUUAAAACUGCUAGUCUAGAGAUUGAAAGAGGAUAGAGGAAUUCCUAGUGUAGAGAUGAAAUUCGUAAAUAUUAGGAGGAACACCAGUGGCGAAC
rnacentral:rRNA from 2 species